AUGAGCAGCCUCGCGCCACCGCCGCUCCGUCGCGCCGAGCACAGCGCGCAGGGACGAGCACGGCGCCUUCCCGCCUUUUUCCGCGGCGCCAUCGUCCGCCGCCUGGAGUUAGCCCUGAGGGACUGUGGGUUCCGCUCCCCACCGGCGAGCAGCGCUGCCGGGCCCUCACUCGUCCGCUUCCCGCCGCCUGCAGGCAGGAGGGGUUGCUCUUCCACCGGGAUGCGCUGCUUCGGCAGUCGCCGCGGUGAACCUCGAGCAGAAAGAAACCCCAUGCAAACAUGCCCAAAGACACCUGCAAAGAGCAGUGUGCUGUUCAGCAGGAUGAGCACAAAGCAAGGAGGCAUGCUGUCCCCCACCACCCUGCUGAGGCUGCAGAAGGCCCUGCAGAGUCGUUCGUGUGGUGUGUCUGCUGCAAUAAACCCAGGAAGGAAUUUAAGAGAAGAAAAAUUCUGAAAAAUAGAUGGUAAAAAAAAAGACCAACAAACAGUGCAGCAGAACAGGGCAGUCUACUGACAAAUGUGUAGGCUGGGAAGUACACACCAAAGAAAUGUUUGGAUCAAGGAGCAGUAAUGGCAGCUGGAUCUGCACAGCACAACUGCCUGUCCUCAAGACGUGAGAUUAAGAAAUGGAUUGGCUGAAAUGUAUAGUUAAUAAAAUACCUGAUACCCCUACUGCA
rnacentral:lncRNA from 1 species